UACAGAGGGGGCAAGCGUUGUUCGGAAUUACUGGGCGUAAAGGGCGCGUAGGCGGCCUGUUAAGUCGAACGUGAAAUCCCCGGGCUCAACCCGGGAACUGCGUCCGAUACUGGCAGGCUUGAAUUCGGGAGAGGGAUGUGGAAUUCCAGGUGUAGCGGUGAAAUGCGUAGAUAUCUGGAGGAACACCGGUGGCGAAGGCGGCAUCCUGGACUACUACUGACGCUGAGGAGCGAAAGCCAGGGGAGCAAACGGG
rnacentral:rRNA from 1 species